rnacentral:pre_miRNA from 1 species
GGGGGGAGGCCGGAUCCUGGGCUGUGUACCGGCGCCCUGUGCUCCGGGGUCUGCGCUGUUGGAUUCGCACUCCUGGGCCGCGCAGCUCCCU